rnacentral:rRNA from 1 species
UACGUAGGCAGCAAGCGUUGUUCGGAAUUACUGGGCGUAAAGAGUGUGUAGGCGGUGUCGUAAGUUUGGCGUGAAAUCUCCCAGCUUAACUGGGAGGGUGCGCCGAAGACUGCGAUGCUUGAGGGUUGGAGAGGAAAGUGGAAUUUCUGGUGUAGCGGUGAAAUGCGUAGAUAUCAGAAGGAACAUCUGUGGUGUAGACGGCUUUCUGGACAACUCCUGACGCUGAGACACGAAAGCGUGGGUAGCAAACAGG